CCCUUAGAUGUUCUGGGCUGCACACGUGCUACACUGGCAGGUUCAGCGAGCUUCAUGCCCUGAUCUGAAAGGAAUGGGAAAUCUUUUCAAAACCUGCCGUGCUUGGGAUAGAUGUUUGCAAUUAUUCAUCUUCAACGAGGAUUGCCUUGUAAGCGCACGUCAUCAGCGUGCAUUGAAUACGACCCUGUAUUCUGUACACACCGCCCGUCGCUCCUACCGAUUGAAGUUUUCGGUGAGUUGACAGGAGGAUAUUUUUGAAACUGGUUCGCCAGUGGAUUUUAGAUCCAAAUGCCGACGAAUCGAUGGCUUUAGAGGAAGGAGAAGUCGUAACA
rnacentral:rRNA from 1 species